rnacentral:rRNA from 1 species
AGUGAACGCUGGCGGUAGGCCUAACACAUGCAAGUCGAACGGCAGCACAGUAAGAGCUUGCUCUUACGGGUGGCGAGUGGCGGACGGGUGAGGAAUACAUCGGAAUCUACUUUUUCUUGGGGGAUAACGUAGGGAAACUUACGCUAAUACCGCAUACGACCUACGGGUGAAAGCAGGGGAUCUUCGGACCUUUCGCGAUUGAAUGAGCCGAUGUCGGAUUAGCUAGUUGGCGGGGUAAAGGCCCACCAAGGCUACGAUCCGUAGCUGGUCUGAGAGGAUGAUCAGCCACACUGGAACUGAGACACGGUCCAGACUCCUACGGGAGGCAGCAGUGGGGAAUAUUGGACAAUGGGCGCAAGCCUGAUCCAGCCAUACCGCGUGGGUGAAGAAGGCCUUCGGGUUGUAAAGCCCUUUUGUUGGGAAAGAAAAGCAGCAGGUUAAUACCCCGCUGUUCUGACGGUACCCAAAGAAUAAGCACCGGCUAACUUCGUG